CCAACACAACAUCUUAACAAAAGGGGGUUUUACCGGCGUUAGUUCAUUAGCUCAAACACACAACUUUGACUAUGAUACUGCUAUUAUCCAAUUUUAUAAGAAAGCUGUAGUGGUGGAGCAGUACGAUUACUGUACUUUGCCACAGAGCGGUAGGCAAGGAGGAUCUCUGAGUCAUUUGGGCAGUCUACUCACUGCGGUGGGGCCAAGGUCUCCUCCAGGAACUCCUCAAUCUUGUUAGUGUCCGUUUUGACCUCUUCGUUGUAGAGGAGGAAGGGAGGCUGAGAACCUGGAGCCAAAGCCUUCAGCACAUCAGGUGCCCUGCAACAGAGCAGCAAACAACAAGCAAGGUCUAGCUUAAAUUAUGAGAACAAAUUUCAACCAAACAAUAACAAAUGAGUAAGAAGGGGUCAAUUAGAUUAGAAUUAUUAGAACAAAGUGCUUUGAUAAUAUUUGGAGUCAUUGUUUCAUGGAGUUCCUCCUAAACUCAGCAAAGAAAUUAAUACUGUGUAAAUGUGAAUGUGUUUGUCACUAUGUGUUAUUAUUGUUCCCUUGUUGUACCUAUUGUAGCCUUUUCACCCAGUAUUUGCUGG